rnacentral:rRNA from 1 species
AGUGAACGCUGGCGGUAGGCCUAACACAUGCAAGUCGAACGGCAGCACAGUAAGAGUUUGCUCUUACGGGUGGCGAGUGGCGGACGGGUGAGGCAUACAUCGGAAUCUACUAUUUCGGGGGGGAUAACGUAGGGAAACUUACGCUAAUACAGCAUACGACCUACGGGUGAAAGCAGGGGAUCUUGGGACCUUGCGCGAUUGAAUGAGCCGAUGUCGGAUUAGCUAGUUGGCGGGGUAAAGGCCCACCAAGGCGACGAUCCGUAGCUGGUCUGAGAGGAUGAUCGGCCACACUGGAACUGAGACACGGUCCAGACUCCUACGGGAGGCAGCAGUGGGGAAUCUUCGACAAUGGGCGCAAGCCUGAUCCAGCCAUACCGCGUGAGUGAAGAAGGCCUUCGGGUUGUAAAGCCCUUUUGUUGGGGAAGAAAAGCAGCAGGUUAAUACCCCGCUGUUCUGACGGUACCCAAAGAAUAAGCACCGGCUAACUUCGUG